rnacentral:lncRNA from 1 species
GGGGAAUUUGUUGACGGUGGCACAGAAACACAUUUUAAACUCCACAAUAAAUACAAUGCUCAUAUCAAAGCAAUUAGUUCUGGCAGACGGAGAGAGGGAAUUAUUCACACGCUGUUUGUUGAAGACCAAGAAAUCGCAGAGACAGAUAUAGACAUCAAGGAGAAUUAGCGUCACGCUAUAGAAUUGUGUCAGCAGAAAGAAAGUGAAACUAUUUAUAACACUGAAAAAAGCAAAUGCUGCUUGAUCACAAAAUAUAGUCGAGGUUUUCACAAAUGCUUGCGUGAUGGUGAGUUAGGUGAUACAGUGUUUUGUCUGAUUACAUAUGCAUGAUAUCAAGAAUAUCCAGACCUUGAUGAGUUUUACCUAGGUAUGCACUUUUCAAUUUAUGCACUUGGGAAAUGUAUAUUUUCUAAUUUAAAACCAAUCAACCGUGCGGAAACUACUGUAAUUGUUCCUUGAACAACGUUUCGCUACGUGUUAUAGUUCGACUGCAUUUACCUCGACGCAGAAUGCAUAAUUUAGAUGCGCAUUCCGUGAAACUCCGAAACUUAUUGCUCAAUGUAGAUAUGUAUUUAAGUAGAUAAUAAUGUAUUUAAUUUCACAUACAGUGAAACCUCCAUUGAGAAAUUCCUUGGAAACGAACACCUCCGCGUUGUUUGGAGGUAUCCGCUGUCUACAGUAUAGAUGUUUACACGGGUAAAAACGCUCAGGUUGAUGUAAUAUUGAUGAAAACAGGAUUGAACAGUGCAUUGCUGCCCACAUUGUUCACAGUUGUCAACAAUAUUGAACAAUAUUGUUACACCCGACUCAGGCUCAACAAUAUUAUUCAAUAUUGUUGACAAGUGUGAACAACGUGGGCAGCAAAACAUUGUUCAAUCCUGUUAAACAGCGGGCCUGGCGUUUUUUGCCGUGUAGUGGCAGUAGCCGACGAAUGUAGUGUGCAAGAUACAAUGUUACAGUAAAAACUGGGAUAAAUUGCAUUUGCAGUUUAACAUGUACCCUGAGACUGGGAGAAUUAUAGAAUAUGCAUAUAAGAGUAUUUAUAGCUGUUUCACUCAUACAAUAGAACUGUCAUUAAAUAUUUUAUGUACUACCAUAUUUUGUAAGAAAGGUACACUCAACACUCAAGGGAAUAUAUUUUGGGUUUUUUAAAGCGAAUCAACCGGGCCAAAAAAUAAUGUGGGUUUCCGGUUUCCUCUUGUAAAAACUUAGGUAGGGUAGGUCGGUUUUAACUUUUUCUUUAAACUUUUUCAAUUUUCCUAUAACAACUUUUCCUAUAACAACAUUUUUCUACAAGCGUGAUCCAAUAAAAAGGUUUAGAGUCGGGAUUUUGGCGUCCAAAAGCUAGGUAGGGUCGGGAAACCGGAAACCCACAUAUUUUUUUUGGCCCCAUUCUUUGAGCGUCUUUUUGCAUAUUCACAUGACGAUUCAACAGUUGAAUCAAUUUGAUAUGCAUACCAGUGUAUUCUAAUUCUUCCAGUCUCAGCUACAUGUUAUAGUUCAACUGCAAUUUAUCCCGACGCAGAAUGUGUCACUUGGAUGCCAAGUUUUUAUAGUCAAGUAUUUUUCUAACUUUUAUAAUUAUGUUAACUUUACAAAUAGUUCAAUUCAAUGAAACGGCAUCUUUUUAUUUAAACAUAUAUAUUACUAACGUUUGCCCAAGAGCACUAGACUCAUCUAGGAGCUUACGUUACAUUUACUAUUACAUAUAGACCGGACAGACAUAUAGUUACAUUUACAUUAAUUUUACAAAGUUCAAGACAUAUAUAGAAACACACAUAAUAAAUUAAUUAAACAACAAAAGAUGAUAGCUAUGACGAAAUUAAAGAAAACGUUUAGAUUCCCUAAUGUAUUGUUGAACAUACUCAAAUAUCACAGUAUUGUCUUUGAGUUCUAAAUUAGAUGAACCAAACAUAAGUAUAUUCACCUGUCAUGUCAGAUAAACGACACCAGCUAUCACCAUAAACUUGUGCAGCAGCCGAGAGCAAGAUUGAUCUUAGAGCAGC